rnacentral:tRNA from 2 species
CAGGGGGUAUUUUAUGUUUAAAAUAUUAGUUUUGGGGAUUAAUGAAAUGGCGUUCUGUCUUUCCUCUGA